GAUGAACGCUGGCGGCGUGCCUAAUACAUGCAAGUCGAGCGAACAGACGAGGAGCUUGCUCCUCUGACGUUAGCGGCGGACGGGUGAGUAACACGUGGAUAACCUACCUAUAAGACUGGGAUAACUUCGGGAAACCGGAGCUAAUACCGGAUAAUAUAUUGAACCGCAUGGUUCAAUAGUGAAAGACGGUUUUGCUGUCACUUAUAGAUGGAUCCGCGCCGCAUUAGCUAGUUGGUAAGGUAACGGCUUACCAAGGCAACGAUGCGUAGCCGACCUGAGAGGGGGAUCGGCCCAAUGGGAAAUGAACCGCGGGCCAGGCCCCGAGGGGGGGCAGAAGGAGGGAACGUGCCGAAAGGGGGGAAAGCCUGCCGGAGCAACGCGGGGUGGGGGAGGAAGGGCUCGGGAGCGUAAAACUUUUUUAUGGGGAAAAAAAAAAUGUGAAAGUAACUAUGCCGGUUUUGACGGUACCAAACCAGAAAGCCACGGCUAACUCGGG
rnacentral:rRNA from 1 species